rnacentral:rRNA from 1 species
GACGAACGCUGGCGGCGUGCUUAACACAUGCAAGUCGAACGGUAAGGCCCUUCGGGGUACACGAGUGGCGAACGGGUGAGUAACACGUGGGUGAUCUGCCCUGCACUUCGGGAUAAGCCUGGGAAACUGGGUCUAAUACCGGAUAGGACCACUGCCUGCAUGGGUGGGGGUGGAAAGCUUUUGCGGUGUGGGAUGGGCCCGCGGCCUAUCAGCUUAUUGGUGGGGUGAUGGCCUACCAAGGCGACGACGGGUAGCCGGCCUGAGAGGGUGACCGGCCACACUGGGACUGAGAUACGGCCCAGACUCCUACGGGAGGCAGCAGUGGGGAAUAUUGCAUAAUGGGCGCAAGCCUGAUGCAGCGACGCCGCGUGAGGGAUGACGGCCUUCGGGUUGUAAACCUCUUUCAGCACCGACGAAGCGCAAGUGACGGUAGGUGCAGAGGAAGGACCGGCCAACUACGUGCCAGCCGCCGCCGUAA